rnacentral:lncRNA from 1 species
AACCAGAGAAGAAGAAACAAAAUCAAUAAUCUCAAAUCUUCGAAAUCGAAAUCGGAAUCUAUAAACGAUGUCUUGCUCCGUCGCCGUUUGUAAUUCUCCGGUGUUUUCACCGUCGUCGUCUCUAUUCUGCAACAAAGCUUCGAUUCUCUCUUCGCCGCAAGAAUCUCCUGGAGGUGUUUGAAGAGGAAACGACCUACAAGGCUUGAUAUACCGAUUGGUGUUGCUGGAUUUGUAGGUCCGAUUUCGUCGUCUACGGCGGCUUUGGCUGAGACGCCGAGGGAGGAGAGUAGAGAGGUCGAGAGAGAUGGUGAUGGUUAUUCUGUUUAUUGUAAGAGAGGAAGAAGAGAAGCUAUGGAGGAUCGUUUCUCUACUAUCACCAAUCUUCAUGGAGAUCGUAAACAUGUACUUUCCAUUUUCAUUUUCCUUUUGGUUGAGAAUUGAAUCGAAUUGGUGAUUUUGAUUCGAUUGAUUAACAAUAACAGCUUAAAUUAGGGUUUAUUCAUGCAAGAUCUACGUUGAUUCGAUUAAUUAGUAGUAUAAUCUAGAAUGAGGGUUCUUGAUGAUGUUGUUUGGGGGAAAUUGUAUUUAUUGAUGAAUUGUGUAUUCUAAACGUGUUAUAAACCACAUGUUGGAUGGACUCCAUAACCGUGGACCUUAUGCAUAUUCUAGAAGGCCCAUGUCCAUGUCCUAGAAGGCCCAUGCCCAUGUUCUUGAAGAUUCUCCUUAUGACGGCCUAUAUUGUACUUAGUGGGCUUUUGGGCUUUAGGGUUUACUAGCCCAAUGGGGAUUUGUCUCCCCUCAUCAUGUAUAUAUAUGUAUCGAAAUCUCAUUCAUUAAUCAAUAGAACAACACAGUUUACAACACGUUAUCAGCACGACUUGCUCUUAACGAAAACCCUAAAACCCUAACCCUAAAAAUCGCGGCACUGUUCAUCACCGACACUGUUCAUCUCGGUACUGUUCAUCGCCGUACUGUUCAUCGCCGACACUGUUCAUCGCCGACACUGUUCAUCGCGGCACUGUUCAUCGCGGUACUGUUCAUCGCGGCACUGUUCAUCGCGGUACUGUUCAUCGUGGUACUGUUUGCGGUUCGUUGCAGCAGCGUGAGUUACCGAGGUCUUUAGCUCCCGGUUCUAGUCCAUACAACCCCAUAAGGUGAAAGGUAACAUCAAAACCCUAAAGCUAAAGAACCAACAAUUGAACUUGAAAGUUAAGCAAAGAGAAACCCUAAAACGAAUGAUGAUUGAUUAAGUGAUUGCUUUGCUUGUAUGAUUUGAUUGCUUGCUUGAUCCGAUUGCUUGUUUGCUCGAUUGUUUGACUCGUUUAGGUUGCUAGAAAAAGUUGAUUAUCGCUUAAGCUAAACUCGCCUAAGUUGCUAGAGAAGUUUUAAUUGUCUAAACCUAAAAUCGCAAAACGAAAAUACAUAAGCUAAUAACCGAAACUUUAAAGGUCUAAAAACCUAAAACCUAAAACGAAUCUAAUCCAAAAAAUUCCAUAAGUUUAAAUCGGCUUGAUUGAGAUUGUUUAGGUUGUUAGAUUGUUUGCUCCUUUGAUUGAUUACAUGCUUAACACCCUAAAACUAAAAUUGCAUGAACCCUAGAAAACUUAGAAAAGAUAAUCCUAAAAGAAAUCUCAAAACCCUAAAACCUAAAAUCCUAAAUAAAAUAGGAAACCCUAAAAUCUAGGAAACCUUAAAAUCCUAAAUAAAAUAGGAAACCCUAGAUAAUAGGAAAUCUUAAAAACCCUAAAUCCUAAGUAAAAAUAGGAAACCUUAAAACCCUAAAUCUUAGGGAUAAUAGGAAAUCUUAACAACCCUAAAUCCUAAAUAGGGAAUCUUAAAAUCCUCAAUAAAAUAGGAAACUUUAAAAUCCUAAUAGAAAGCAUGAAAACCUAAAUAAAAUCCUAAAUCCUAUUGUACUCUAAAUCCUAAUUAAAUUAGGAAAUUCAUAAAUCCUAUUCAAGAUAGGAAAACUUUAAGAAAUAGAAAAUUUCCAAAUCCUAAUUAAAAUAGGAAAUCUUAAAAUCUAAAAUCAGAAGUGAAAUAGGAAAAUUAAUCCUAAAGUAAAGAGGAAAGUAAAUCCUAAAAGGAAAAGGAAAAGUUAAUCCUAAUCAAAAGAGGAAAUCUAAUCAUAAGCAAAAGAGGAAAGUCAAAUCCCUAAGUAAAUCGAUUCAUGGUUCGGUCUCAAAUACCGCAUGACACUAACGAUUACAUGAUUUUGACUCAAAACGUUUCUUUGUAGAUGUUGAAUUACAACUUGUACUUUACUGCCCUAAAUCUCUUAGGAGAUAAUUAUUUUAAAAUGGGCAAUAGAUACUAAGAUUAUCCUAAAGUCAAAAGGACUUGGUGAAUGUAUCUAAUAAGGCAAGAAUGCCAAGAGAGAAAGAUAGAUACAAGGCAAUAUUAGCCACCAUCUUAUUGAAAGUCUCAUAAUCCAGGACUAUAAGUCCGUGGAUGAGUCUAUUGCUAGAUGAAAAAAAAAAAAUAAAAAAAUAAUGACUUACAGAUAAAAACAGUGAAUUACGACCUCAUAGAUUAACCCCAUUACCUAAUGCCAAUAAGGCCGCAGAGGAUAAGAAAGAAUCCAAAGAAUCUAACCACGUCUAAAGUGAUAGACCACACGGCCGUGACCGUGGUGAAUGGAAAGGACGUGGUUGUGACCACUAUAACUCAUCCGGCCGUGGGAACCACUAUAACCGUGGAUGUAGACCCAAUCCCGGCCGUGGUCGAGGGCGAGGACGAUGUGGUAUUUCCAAACCACAACACUCGACCAAAUGAGUAUGCCAUAGAUGUGGUAUUGAAAGGACGUGGUUGUGGCCACUAUAACUCAUCCGGCCAUGGGAACCACUAUAACCGUGGAUGUAGACCCAAUUCCGGCCGUGGUCGAGGGCGAGGACGAUGUGGUAUUUCCAAACCACAACACUCGACCAAAUGAGUAUACCAUAGAUAUGGAAUGGGAAACCAUUGGGCUAAGAUAUGUAGGACUUCCAAACAUCGUUGUGACCUCUAUCAAGAGAAUGUAAAAGGGAAGAAUCCUAAAGCCCAUUUGGUAUAUAAAGAUGGUGAACAUGAUCAAGAUGAUCUAAUAGAGUAUGAAACUUCUGAUUGCAUAAAAGAAUCAAGUUGAUAAAUCUUACUUCGACAUCAAAACCUCUAUGUUUUUCUUUGCAUUUUAUGUGUUCAUUGAUUGUUAUUUGCUUGAAUUUAUUUUAUAUUAUUUUAUGUUUAGAACAUGAUUCUUGUCCAUAUAAGAAAUGACCGAGGACAAGAACAUAAUUGUGGUGGAUAGUGGAUCGAGCCACACAAUUUUAAAAAGACAAAAGAUAAUACUUUAUAAAUCUAACAUUGAAAAUGCCAAUAUUAGCACCAUAGCGGGAAUAGCUAGUCUUAUUGAGGGCCACGGUCAAGCCCAUAUCCUUUUAUCAAAAGGCACGCAUCUUGAAAUAAGCGAUGCCCUAUAUUCACCCAGCUCGAAGAGGAGCUUGUUAAGUUUCAAAGAUAUAAGAUUAAAUGGUUUCCAUAUUGAAACAAAGGGUGAAGGGAACAAAGAAUUCCUAAAUAUAAUUGAGAUCACCCAAGGACAUAAGAAAGUCCUAGAGACUAUACCCGCAUUAUCCACUGGUCUUUACUAUGCUAAAAUCGAUAUGAUCGAAGCUAAUAUGGCAAUGAACAAAUAGUAAAGAAACAAAUCAUGUGGGCUUAUGGCUCAUAUAGAUUUCCUUCCUUAUUUUUUUAUUUACUUUUCAGAAACUAAAAGCUUAAAUUAUCAACAUGUAAAUCCAAAUCUUCUUCAUUUUAUAUGAUAUUUACUCACUUAUAGAAAAAAAAAUAAUACGAAAAAGAAAAAAAAGAAAGAAAAAAACAUUACCGUCUGUAUUUACCUUUUUCAGAAUGAACCAAAAAAAACAUUUUGAUUAAACUAAACAAAUUGAUUUCAAGUAAAAUAAUAAUUUGUUACUAUAUAUAUAUAUAAAAUCAAACACAAAUGUAUAUCAACAAUCAAAUAUGUAGUUGAUUUCGAAUACAAUAGAGUCUAGUUGAUCUAAAACCAUCUCCAAUAAAUUCUUCUAUUUUUUCUAAAGUAAAGUAGAAUAUUUUCUAAUGUGUCACUCUAUUUUUUAGGGAUAAGUUGGAAUUUAGUACGUUUAUCAAACUUAAUUAUAAAAAUAGUACAAGUACUAUUUACAAUUGGAACAAACACCCAACUUGGACUGCAGCGCCUUUAAACUUCUUUUUCUCUCUCUCCAUCGUUACAAAAACCAGAGAAGAAGAAACAAAAUCAAUAAUCUCAAAUCUUCGAAAUCGAAAUCGGAAUCUAUAAACGAUGUCUUGCUCCGUCGCCGUUUGUAAUUCUCCGGUGUUUUCACCGUCGUCGUCUCUAUUCUGCAACAAAGCUUCGAUUCUCUCUUCGCCGCAAGAAUCUCCUGGAGGUGUUUGAAGAGGAAACGACCUACAAGGCUUGAUAUACC